rnacentral:rRNA from 1 species
CCUACGGGUGGCAGCAGUGGGGAAUAUUGGACAAUGGGGGAAACCCUGAACCAGCGACGCAGCGUGCGUGAAGAAGUAUUUAGGUACGUAAAGCCCUAUCAGCAGGAAAGAAAAUGACGGUACCUGACUAAGAAGCCCCGUCUAACUCCGUGAAAGCAGCCGCGGUUAUACGUAGGGGGCAAGCGUUAUCCGGAUUUACUGGGGGUAAAGGGGGCGUAGACGGCAGCGUAAGGGUGGAGGGAAAUGCCGGGGCCAGACCCGGGAACUGCCGUUGAAACUGUGAAGCUGGAGUGCAGAAGAGGUAGGCGGAAUUCGUGGUGUAGCGGUGAAAUGCGUAGAUAUCAGGAGGAACACCGGCGGCGAAGGCGGCUUACUGGGCUGCGACUGACGUUGAGGCUCGAAGGCGUGGGGAGCAAACAGGAUUAGAUACCCUAGUAGUC